rnacentral:tRNA from 1 species
AUCAGGUUGAUGGAGCUAAUGGUCGUACAAACUUUGAAGCAAUUCAGAGUAAGUACAAAAAAGCUGGAUAUGAGAUG